GGCUCAGGAUGAACGCUAGCUACAGGCCUAACACAUGCAAGUCGAGGGGCAGCACUGAGGAAGCUUGCUUUCUCUGGUGGCGACCGGCGGAUGGGUGAGCAACGCGUAUCCAACCUGGCCUGCGCGCGGGGAUAGCCCUUGGAAAUGAGGAUUAAGACCCGAUACGUGGCGCCGCCGCAUGGCGGCUCCAUGAAACAGACGCGGGAUGGGGAUGCGUUGGAUUAGCCAGCCGGCAGGGCAGCGGCCUACCGGGGCGACGAUCCAUAGGGGUUCUGAGAGGAAGGUCCCCCACACUGGAACUGAGACACGGUCCAGACUCCUACGGGAGGCAGCAGUGAGGAAUAUUGGUCAAUGGGCGCAAGCCUGAACCAGCCAAGUAGCGUGAAGGAUGACUGCCCUAUGGGUUGUAAACUUCUUUUAUACGGGAACAAACUCCGGUACGUGUACCGGUCUGCGUGUACCGUAUGAAUAAGCAUCGGCUAACUCCGUG
rnacentral:rRNA from 1 species